GCGACGACGGGUAGCCGGCCUGAGAGGGUGACCGGCCACACUGGGACUGAGACACGGCCCAGACUCCUACGGGAGGCAGCAGUGGGGAAUAUUGCACAAUGGGCGAAAGCUGAUGCAGCAACGCCGCGUGAGGGAUGACGGCCUUCGGGUUGUAAACCUCUUUUAGUAGGGAAGAAGCGAAAGUGACGGUACCUGCAGAAAAAGCACCGGCUAACUACGUGCCAGCAGCCGCGGUAAUACGUAGGGUGCAAGCGUUGUCCGGAAUUAUUGGGCGUAAAGAGCUCGUAGGCGGUUUGUCGCGUCUGCUGUGAAAUCUGGGGGCUCAACCCCCAGCCUGCAGAGAAAAACGGGCAGACUAGAGUGCGGUAGGGGAGAUUGGAAUUCCUGGUGUAGCGGUGGAAUGCGCAGAUAUCAGGAGGAACACCGAUGGCGAAGGCAGAUCUCUGGGCCGUAACUGACGCUGAGGAGCGAAAGCAUGGGGAGCGAACAGGAUUAGAUACCCUGGUAGUCCAUGCCGUAAACGUUGGGAACUAGAUGUGGGGACCAUUCCACGGUCUCCGUGUCGCAGCUAACGCAUUAAGUUCCCCGCCUGGGGAGUACGGCCGCAAGGCUAAAACUCAAAGGAAUUGACGGGGGCCCGCACAAGCGGCGGAGCAUGCGGAUUAAUUCGAUGCAACGCGAAGAACCUUACCAAGACUUGACAUAUACGAGAACGGUCCAGAAAUGGUCAACUCUUUGGACACUCGUAAACAGGUGGU
rnacentral:rRNA from 1 species